rnacentral:rRNA from 1 species
UACGGGGGGGGCAAGCGUUGUUCGGAAUUACUGGGCGUAAAGGGCUCGUAGGCGGCCAACUAAGUCAGACGUGAAAUCCCUCGGCUUAACCGGGGAACUGCGUCUGAUACUGGAUGGCUUGAGUGUGGGAGAGGGAUGCGGAAUUCCAGGUGUAGCGGUGAAAUGCGUAGAUAUCUGGAGGAACACCGGUGGCGAAGGCGGCAUCCUGGACCACGACUGACGCUGAGUGAGCGAAAGCCAGGGGAGCAAAGCGGG